UAUUUGACUGCGUUUCAAAUACUUUUUUCUAAACAUGUGGAGAACAUUAAGCACUGAAUGUGAACAGAACAGACAAUGACUGAUCCGGUGUCACGUUGUUUCAUUAUUGCAUCAACUGACAAGUAUAAUGGAGGAAUAUGAACAAAAAUUUUAAUACUUUUAUCAUCAUAUGAUGAAAUAUUGACUGUAUUGUUAUCCGUCAAUACUAAUGUACAUGUAUAUACGAUUUUACCAUUUCUUAUUUGACACUUAGACUUUAUACUGUACAUUUAUUUAUUGUUUUGUUUAAUUAUAUACGAUAUUUUUCUCAGGGCCGUUGAAUUUAGUAUCCAUCACUAUUUUAGUAGUAAAUUGGUUCAUGUACGGUCUCCUUUAAUAAAUUUAAUAUAUUUUU
rnacentral:misc_RNA from 1 species